rnacentral:rRNA from 1 species
CCUAACACAUGCAAGUCGAACGGUAACAGGAAGAAGCUUGCUUCUUUGCUGACGAGUGGCGGACGGGUGAGUAAUGUCUGGGAAGCUGCCUGAUGGAGGGGGAUAACUACUGGAAACGGUAGCUAAUACCGCAUAAUGUCGCAAGACCAAAGAGGGGGACCUUCGGGCCUCUUGCCAUCGGAUGUGCCCAGAUGGGAUUAGCUUGUUGGUGGGGUAACGGCUCACCAAGGCGACGAUCCCUAGCUGGUCUGAGAGGAUGACCAGCCACACUGGAACUGAGACACGGUCCAGACUCCUACGGGAGGCAGCAGUGGGGAAUAUUGCAC